CCUGAUGCAGCGACGCCGCGUGAGGGAUGAAGGCCUUCGGGUUGUAAACCUCUUUCAGCAGGGACGAAGCGAAAGUGACGGUACCUGCAGAAGAAGCACCGGCUAACUACGUGCCAGCAGCCGCGGUAAUACGUAGGGUGCGAGCGUUGUCCGGAAUUACUGGGCGUAAAGAGUUCGUAGGCGGUUUGUCGCGUCGUCUGUGAAAACCCAUCGCUCAACGAUGGGCCGGCAGGCGAUACGGGCAGACUUGAGUACUGCAGGGGAGACUGGAAUUCCUGGUGUAGCGGUGAAAUGCGCAGAUAUCAGGAGGAACACCGGUGGCGAAGGCGGGUCUCUGGGCAGUAACUGACGCUGAGGAACGAAAGCGUGGGUAGCAAACAGGAUUAGAUACCCUGGUAGUCCACGCCGUAAACGGUGGGCGCUAGGUGUGGGUUCCUUCCACGGGAUCUGUGCCGUAGCUAACGCAUUAAGCGCCCCGCCUGGGGAGUACGGCCGCAAGGCUAAAACUCAAAGGAAUUGACGGGGGCCCGCACAAGCGGCGGAGCAUGUGGAUUAAUUCGAUGCAACGCGAAGAACCUUACCUGGGUUUGACAUAUACUGGAAAGCUGCAGAGAUGUAGCCCCCCUUGUGGCCGGU
rnacentral:rRNA from 1 species